CAGGUAGCUCAGUCGGUAGAGCAGAGGACUGAAAAUCCUCGUGUCGGCAGUUCGAUUCUGUCCCUG
rnacentral:tRNA from 1 species